rnacentral:rRNA from 1 species
AGCGGCGGACGGGUGAGUAAUGCUUAGGAAUCUGCCUAUUAGUGGGGGACAACAUUCCGAAAGGGAUGCUAAUACCGCAUACGUCCUACGGGAGAAAGCAGGGGAUCUUCGGACCUUGCGCUAAUAGAUGAGCCUAAGUCGGAUUAGCUAGUUGGUGGGGUAAAGGCCUACCAAGGCGACGAUCUGUAGCGGGUCUGAGAGGAUGAUCCGCCACACUGGGACUGAGACACGGCCCAGACUCCUACGGGAGGCAGCAGUGGGGAAUAUUGGACAAUGGGGGGAACCCUGAUCCAGCCAUGCCGCGUGUGUGAAGAAGGCCUUAUGGUUGUAAAGCACUUUAAGCGAGGAGGAGGCUACUAAGACUAAUACUCUUGGAUAGUGGACGUUACUCGCAGAAUAAGCACCGGCUAACUCUGUGCCAGCAGCCGCGGUAAUACAGAGGGUGCGAGCGUUAAUCGGAUUUACUGGGCGUAAAGCGUGCGUAGGCGGCUUUUUAAGUCGGAUGUGAAAUCCCCGAGCUUAACUUGGGAAUUGCAUUCGAUACUGGGAAGCUAGAGUAUGGGAGAGGAUGGUAGAAUUCCAGGUGUAGCGGUGAAAUGCGUAGAGAUCUGGAGGAAUACCGAUGGCGAAGGCAGCCAUCUGGCCUAAUACUGACGCUGAGGUACGAAAGCAUGGGGAGCAAACAGGAUUAGAUACCCUGGUAGUCCAUGCCGUANACGAUGUCUACUAGC